rnacentral:rRNA from 1 species
UCGCCGAGAAGGGUAGCAAUACCUGAGUGAAGUGGCGCACGGGUGAGUAACACGUGACUAAUCUACCCUCGAGUGGGGAAUAACCUAGAGAAAUCUGGGCUAAUACCGCAUAACACUUACGAGUCAAAGCAGCAAUGCGCUUGGGGAGGAGGUCGCGGCCGAUUAGCUAGUUGGCGGGGUAAUGGCCCACCAAGGCGAUGAUCGGUAUCCGGCCUGAGAGGGCGCACGGACACACUGGAACUGAAACACGGUCCAGACUCCUACGGGAGGCAGCAGUGGGGAAUUUUGCGCAAUGGGGGAAACCCUGACGCAGCAACGCCGCGUGGAGGAUGAAAUAUCUUGGUAUGUAAACUCCUUUCGAUGGGGAAGAUUAUGACGGUACCCAUAGAAGAAGCCCCGGCUAACUUCGUGCCAGCAGCCGCGGUAAUACGAGGGGGGCAAGCGUUGUUCGGAUUUAUUGGGCGUAAAGGGUGCGUAGGCGGUUUGAUAAGUCUGAUGUGAAAUCUAUGGGCUCAACCCAUAGUCUGCAUUAGAAACUGUCGGGCUUGAGUAUGGGAGAGGUGAGUGGAAUUUCCGGUGUAGCGGUGAAAUGCGUAGAUAUCGGAAGGAACACCUGUGGCGAAAGCGGCUCACUGGACCAUAACUGACGCUGACGCACGAAAGCUAGGGGAGCAAACAGGAUUAGAUACCCUGGUAGUCCUAGCCCUAAACGAUGAUUGCUUGGUGUGGCAGGUACCCAAUCCUGCCGUGCCGAAGCUAACGCGAUAAGCAAUCCGCCUGGGGAGUACGGUCGCAAGGCUGAAACUCAAAGGAAUUGACGGGGGCCCGCACAAGCGGUGGAGCAUGUGGUUUAAUUCGACGCAACGCGAAGAACCUUACCUGGGCUCGAAAUGUAGUGGAAUCCGGCAGAAACGUCGGCGUCUAGCAAUAGACCGCUAUAUAGGUGCUGCAUGGCUGUCGUCAGCUCGUGCCGUGAGAUGUUGGGUUAAGUCCCGCAACGAGCGCAACCCUUAUCUUCAGUUGCUACCAUUUAGUUGAGCACUCUGACCAAACCGCCUCGGAUAACGGGGAGGAAGGUGGGGAUGACGUCAAUCC